rnacentral:rRNA from 1 species
ACGGAGGAUGCGAGCGUUAUCCGGAUUUAUUGGGUUUAAAGGGUGCGUAGGCGGCACGCCAAGUCAGCGGUGAAAUUUCCGGGCUCAACCCGGAAUGUGCCGUUGAAACUGGCGAGCUAGAGUGCACAAGAGGCAGGCGGAAUGCGUGGUGUAGCGGUGAAAUGCAUAGAUAUCACGCAGAACCCCGAUUGCGAAGGCAGCCUGCUAGGGUGCGACAGACGCUGAGGCACGAAAGCGUGGGUAUCGAACAG